rnacentral:lncRNA from 1 species
GGGGCGGGAAUCAACAGAAGUCUAGCUAGUCGGAUCAGUCUGUGGAGUGAACAAAGUCAAAGCCCAUGUCAACAGCGGUUCGACUGAUUUUUAACCUCUUGGACAAGUCAACUUGGUUUCAAAGGGUUGGACCCUUGGGACAUGGACAUCCAGGCAGUGGGUGCCUCUGGAGGCAGGUCAUGGGCAUGAAAAGAUAGAUGGACAUUUAAGAUCCAUGGAGAGCAUCAUUGGUGCUGUUACACAAUGCAAGAAGAGAAAGCUUCAGUUGUUGACUCAGGAUGGUUCCAGGUUGCAGCUCCCCGGUCCGUGUGUUUUCCAUGUGACAAGAACUUCACGGAGAAAGAGUCUGGAAAUACCACUAUGCUCAUCUCCACCUGCAACAAUCUUACUCGAUCUUCAACAAGGUCCUUCUUCAAUUCCACUUACUUUGGGAAAUCUUGGCCAUCUUUCAGGGCAUAUCCAGGAGCUGGAUAUGAAUCUGGUGAGUGGGUAGCACUGUCAGUCACUCACUGGAAUACAGUGCACUGUUGCAUUCUAAAGAGUGUGUGCAUGUUUUGUCUCAUUGAGAUUACACGCCCCUAA